rnacentral:rRNA from 1 species
UUGAGAGACUGAUCGGCCACAAUGGGACUGAGACACGGCCCAUACUCCUACGGGAGGCAGCAGUAGGGAAUCUUCCACAAUGGACGCAAGCCUGAUGGAGCAACACCGCGUGAGUGAAGAAGGGUUUCGGCUCGUAAAGCUCUGUUGUUAAAGAAGAACAUGUAUGAGAGUAACUGUUCAUGCAGUGACGGUAUUCAACCAGAAAGUCACGGCU